GCCCAUAUAGUAUAAUGGUUAUUACAUGCCCUUGGUAAGGGUAAAAUACGUGUUCGAUUCACGUUAUGGGCACCA
rnacentral:tRNA from 1 species